GCUGUAAGAGCGACGACGAGAAAGAAAGGAGAUGACGAGAGAGAGAGAUGAACCAAUCGACGGGGCAAUAACAGAGAAUGAAAACGACGACUGAAUCACCGUGCGCCGCGAGAAGACAUUAAAAUGCCGGCGAGAGCUCUGCAAAAAUCGGCACGAAGUGGGAGGCACCGCGCUUUUGCGUCACGGUCACGCAAAUCCGCCGCCGAUUGGCACGAGUUACGGCGUCGCGAAACGCUUGGCCGCGGACACGCCCGGAAGUCAAUGACGGAUCGGCAUAGGAAAGAAACGGACGAGCCAUUAACCGGCGAACAGAAGAAACGGUCCGGCGAUUGCCGUGACGAGAAUCCUCCGUUGCCCGAUGUUGAUCAACGCUGUUGAUCCCUCACGAAUCCGAAAAACGAUCGGCAAAAAUUAUAUUCAAAAUACAGAAACCGAUCCGUACGAAAAAAUACGAUGACUCAGAACAAUAUCUCCGGCGACACGAGAAUGACGUUGAUGUUAUCAGAAAACCGAAGUCAGAAUUAAUUUCCUCAAACACAACAACGGCGACCAUCGCGUAGGCGGAAUUAGGUGUUCUCCAUUAGCGGGCCCGACCCUGUUUACAUUCGCUGACCGAGAGAAGAGUGAGAAAAAAGGAAGCAAUCGCGGUUUCCCCAUUUUCAAUUCAUACGGGCGGAGAGGUCCCUUUGUGUCAUCUAUCCGUUUCCGCGAGGAGUCGCACGCAACAAGAAGCCGGGAAGCCGCGGUGGUCGGCGGCCGUCAUUGAUCUCCUGUUAGAAUCGGAUCACUUGGAUGUAACAAGAUAAAUAGUCAGCGGGACACCGUCGGUGGUCGAGGGUGCGGAUCGCGGAGUCAUGCUGACUAUGUAUCUGAUCAAGAGAACCGAGCACGCGCGUCCGAUCCCGCGGAUGUACUUAACGUGUACACCGUGGUGGUUCUCCGGUCGUACGUAACAAGCUGAUGGGACAUUUUUCGAUUCACUUACACACCGGUCGACGGAAAGAGGGAGUUAUCGCCGAUCAUGCCUCCUUCGCAGGAGCGACGAACUAAAUAUAGCUAGGUAAUUCUAGCCUUGGCGUAUUGUUUUACGUGAACGAAAUAGCGAUCGCUCGUAAUCGAUCUUACGUUUUAAGUUUUCGCGCGGAUCGGGGAUAGAAAAAAGCGAUUAAAUGAUUGACUAAGGAUUAUAACGCGGCAAGAACUAUGUCGAAUUGCUCGUCAUCCGACCGCGCGAACGGAUCUCACGAACUAACGACAAAUUUUCGCUUUAACGUUUCUCAUAACGUGCUCAGCGACGAGGAACUCGCCUUCCCUCGAUUUCCGAACAGCGCGAGCCCGAUCGACUUUUUAUGCCGGCCCACGGUUUUUGCACGAUCAUCGGGACUUUCGUCACGGCAACACCCGGGGCACGUGACGCCCGUGAACAUGGCGUUACAGGUGUUCGCGCUCAUC